UAAGGGCUGACUGCCACCAGGGAAGGCUCUCUGGUUGUGGAUCUCUCUCCCUGUUGGAGUUUUCCCCUGUGAGCCUACAUCUUUGGAGAUGGCAUUCCUAUGCGUAUGGUACUGAGUGCACAUUGUUCCUGCUCCUUUUGGCUAACCAGUAUUAAAAGUCCAGUUGCCAAAACAGUCUGAUGUAUGAAUGAAGCCUGCUUCUGCCAUGUGAACUGUCUGGAAGCAUCACCUAUCAUGGAGCAGGAGGCGUCCUGCUGGGUCUACAGUGAGCUCCAGCUGUUCAUCUUUCCCUCUGCCUCCAUGCCCCAAGGAUGAAGAAAUAAGACUCAGCCAACCUAGAUGCUGCAUAUUGGCUUCUAUGCAACAAGUAAUUGGAAAACUAAAUCUAGGGACAAGAGGAC